rnacentral:rRNA from 1 species
AGGACGAACGCUGGCGGCGUGCUUAACACAUGCAAGUCGAACGGAAAGGCCCUUCGGGGUACUCGAGUGGCGAACGGGUGAGUAACACGUGGGUGAUCUGCCCCGCACUUUGGGAUAAGCCUGGGAAACUGGGUCUAAAUACCGAAUAGGACCAUGGGAUGCAUGUCCUGUGGUGGAAAGCUUUUGCGGUGUGGGAUGGGCCCGCGGCCUAUCAGCUUGUUGGUGGGGUUAAGGCCUACCAAGGCGACGACGGGUAGCCGGCCUGAGAGGGUGUCCGGCCACACUGGGACUGAGAUACGGCCCAGACUCCUACGGGAGGCAGCAGUGGGGAAUAUUGCACAAUGGGCGCAAGCCUGAUGCAGCGACGCCGCGUGGGGGAUGACGGCCUUCGGUUGUAAACCUCUUUCAGUAGGGACGAAGCGCAAGUGACGGUACCUACAGAAGAAGCACCGGCCAACUACGUGCCAGCAGCCGC